rnacentral:rRNA from 1 species
UUUCCCUAGUAACGGCGAGCGAACCGGAAAGAGCCCAGCUUGAAAAUCGUGGUGCCUCGCACCUCGAGUUGUAGUCUGGAGAAGGUCCCUCUGCGACGCGCCGGACCCAAGUUCCCUGGAAAGGGACGUCAUCGAGGGUGACAACCCCGUCCGCGCCCGGAAGGCGUCGCUCCACGAGGACCUGUCUGCGAGUCGGGCUGUUUGGGAAUGCAGCCCUAAUCCGGUGGUAAAUUCCAUCGAAGGCUAAAUAUGGGCAAGAGACCGAUAGCGAACAAGUACCGCGAGGGAAAGAUGAAAAGGACUUUGAAAAGAGAGUUAAAAAGUGCUUGAAAUUGCUGGGAGGGAAGCGAAUGGAAGCUGCGGGUGCGCCCCGGUUGGAUGUGGAACGGCUUCGGCUGGUCCGCCGCUCAACGCGGGGCGCUGGUCAGCGUGGGCCACCGCGCCGGGACAAGAGCGGGGAUUCGCUUCCCGCCUAUGCCGGUGCGGUGGCCGAGGAACGAAGCGCGCGCCCUCCGCGGCGUGGGCCCUCGCGGGUCCAACUGCGCGCUCGGGACGCUGGCGUAUUGAGCUCUUCAUCCGACCCGUCUUGAAACACGGACCAAGGAGUCUAACAUGUAUGCGAGCCGGUGGGCGGCAAACCCAUUGAGGCGCAAGGAAACUGACAGGUGGGACCCCGACCGCGAGGGAGGGAGCACCAUCGACCGACCGUGAUCUUCUGUGAAAGGUUUGAGUGGGAGCAUACCUGUUGGGACCCGAAAGAUGGUGAACUAUGCCUGAGCAGGGCGAAGCCAGAGGAAACUCUGGUGGAGGCUCGCAGCGAUACUGACGUGCAAAUCGUUCGUCAGACUUGGGUAUAGGGGCGAAAGACUAAUCGAACCAUCUAGUAGCUGGUUCCCUCCGAAGUUUCCCUCAGGAUAGCUGGAGCUCGUGUACAAGUUUUAUCAGGUAAAGCGAAUGAUUAGAGGCAUCGGGGGUGUAACACCCUCGACCUAUUCUCAAACUUUAAAUAGGUAAGCCGCCGGGGUUGCUUGGUUGAACCCCGGCACAGAA